AUGGGAUCCAGUAGUCCUGCAGAGGUUACUAAAGCUGAGCAGUCAUCUGUUGACCAUGAGAAGAGGACAGAUGUUGAGAAGAAAGAUUAUCGUGAUCCAAUUUUCUAUUACGAUUAUCCCUCCCUGCGCAAAUGGGGUCUGAUUGCUGCUGCCAUUCUCUUCAUCCUUGGCAUUCUCAUUCUCACCUGUGGUAAACAAGGAAAAUUCCCAAGAUGCCGAGGAAAGAAGCGGGCAAGAACCUAUGAUGUGACACAGGCCUGAAACCACAUCCUUAUGAGAUGUGAACUGGGACUAGCUUCAGUCUAUAUGUGGAUGGCUCAUGGGGUCACCCUUCCUAUUUUUCUCCUGUAGGGGAAAAAUGACUACCUAGAUCCCCUUAAACCAUUCUGCUCCUUGCCUGACCUUCCAACAUGUCCUUUUUAAUUGGCUGUACAAUAUCUGUCCAUUUCCCCCCUGGCCCUAUGCAUAAGCUAUUCAUAACAUUAAACAAGUCCCCCCGUAGAACCAGAAAACUUGUACAUUCUUACUUCUUCUCUUCAUCCAACCUCAGAUUCAGAAAGACUUUAGUUGGCGUGUGCAUCGUAGGAAUGGGCGUUGCUGCUCCACGCCAAGAAAAACCCCUUUGUGAUAAUUCUGUUCAAAGAAGUCUUCAAGUUCUGUACUUGUAAUAAAAUUUGGGCGAGGUUUGUUUUUUCUUCA
rnacentral:lncRNA from 1 species